rnacentral:pre_miRNA from 1 species
UGACCUAAGGCAUGAUCCAAAGCCCCCUGAAGUCAAUGGGAGUUUUUCCAUUGACUUCAAAAGCUUUCGGAUCAUGUCUGAAAUCA